GUGUGUCUUCAAGUGGUUCCUAUUUUGGAAGUUUGAGAAGGUCGGUGAAACUGUUGCAACUCCUACACCUUAUAAGUAUGAUCCAGAUGUCUCGCUAAGAACUUUAUAUGGAAAUAAUUAUGCUUGAGUACUCCUUUUAUUUUUUUCUGAGCAUGAGUAUUUCAUUGAGUUCAUCAAAAGCCUGCGCCCCAUCUUUACCAUGAAGAGCCGCACCAUUGUUACAAAGGAUAUCAUGGCCAUAUUUGUAGAAGAAAAAGGAAAAAUAAUAUGACCAUUUGAAAAUUGUCAACAAUCGAUUUUCCACAGAAAUGGACUUAUGGACAAAGGAUAUGUGUCCCUAUCCACUGGAUUGAUGAGGACCGUAAUCUUCAGAAUAGGAUUAUCAGUUUCAUGCACCUAGAAGGGCAGCACACCGGUCUUAAACAUGUCGGAUACAUUUUUUUGCAAGCAUAAACAGAUGGUUUUUUGACAAGAAAAUGUUUUUCCUGACUUUGGAUAAUGCAUCUGCAAAUGAAGUACUCCCUCCAUCCCAAUUUAUAGGUCAUAUUAGUUUUAUCUCGAAUACCAAGGAGAUUAUAGUUGGUUGUAUUAGUUUUUGUUUCGUCCGCGUGGAAGGCUAAAAAGUCUGGUGCUCCUCUCCCCUGCUCUCCUCUUGCUUCCUGCAAAAAAAUGGAACAAAGAGGACCUGGAAGAGCUACGGUGAGCAAUAGGUUAGGCCUCUUCCUCUCUUCUUCCCUCCUGCCCAAUUGCAAGGCUCUUUUUCCUGCUCUUUAUUUAUGUAGGUUGAAUCUCAGGAGCUUUCUCAACGUUGAUUCCUCCAUAGAGAAGGAAACUGCAUUCACUCGGAGUUAAAGCUCCCUCUAUGCCGUAUGAUGUAGCCUGUGAAGCGUGUAGUUUUAAUUAACUGUAUAAUCUCUUGCUUAAACUUGUUACAUUUAACUUUGUGCAGAAUCUGUUUGGCUCAUCUUGAUUGUGUGUGC
rnacentral:lncRNA from 1 species